GAGAGAGAGAGAGAAGAAAAGGGAGAGACAGAGACAACUACCAGUUCAAAAAGAUGUAUUCUUUCUCAACAUAUACCUGCAUUCUCCUAAAUUUUUUGAAUCCACUGACUGGCAAUAAGCAAAUCAAGAAAUGCUUUACCAAUAAAGCACAUAAUUACAUGGCAAAUAUGUAUUCCAGGUCCAGGGGAUUUUGGCUCAUCAUGGUAUAAUCCUUAUUCAAUGUGAUAUAUCCUUAAUGGGACCAGUUUAUCCCCAAAUCCUCAUAACCCCAGUUCCUAGGUGUGGCAUUCCUAAUUCGAAAAGCAGCUAUUCAAAACUUCAACUCAUAUCCCAUCCCCCUCACCCCCUGGGAAAAAAAAGGAAGAAGAAAAUAAAUAAAUAAAU
rnacentral:misc_RNA from 1 species